AUUGAACGCUGGCGGCAUGCCUUACACAUGCAAGUCGAACGGUAACAGGUCUUCGGAUGCUGACGAGUGGCGAACGGGUGAGUAAUACAUCGGAACGUGCCCGAUCGUGGGGGAUAACGGAGCGAAAGCUUUGCUAAUACCGCAUACGAUCUACGGAUGAAAGCAGGGGACCGCAAGGCCUUGCGCGGACGGAGCGGCCGAUGGCAGAUUAGGUAGUUGGUGGGAUAAAAGCUUACCAAGCCGACGAUCUGUAGCUGGUCUGAGAGGACGACCAGCCACACUGGGACUGAGACACGGCCCAGACUCCUACGGGAGGCAGCAGUGGGGAAUUUUGGACAAUGGGCGAAAGCCUGAUCCAGCCAUGCCGCGUGCAGGAUGAAGGCCUUCGGGUUGUAAACUGCUUUUGUACGGAACGAAAAGACUCUUUCUAAUAAAGAGGGUCCAUGACGGUACCAUAAGAAUAAGCACCGGCUAACUACGUG
rnacentral:rRNA from 1 species